UUUUGAUACUAAAUUCAGGGUUUUGGAGACCCUCCGCUUUACAUUUCUCAAAUCCCAUCCGCUCGCACGCUCCUCAUACGCUGCUCCUCUACUCAAAAGUUUCUCUUCUUCAGUGUCUUCACAGUGGCCGCCACCGUUCCUGUCUCUGUCGCCAUCGCUAUCUCCUUCAGUGGUCUUAUUCGUUGAAGCGAACAAAGUCUAAGAAGAUGUUUCUACAGCCUGUGGUACCCUAAGCUUCGAAUAACGGCCCUCUCUGCUUCUCUUCGAGCUCUAAUAAGUUGAAGCUGUUCUUAUAGGUCAGCAUGGGAUUUGAUAAUGAGUGCAUAUUAAACAUUCAAACUUUAGCUGGAGAGUACUUCUGCCCUGUCUGUCGCUUGCUUGUUUACCCAAAUGAGGCGCUACAGUCACAAUGCACUCAUUUAUACUGCAAGCCCUGUUUGACCUACAUUGUGAGUACUACACGGGCUUGCCCUUAUGAUGGCUACUUGGUGACUGAAGCAGAUUCCAAGCUGCUUGUAGAAUCAAAUAAAACUCUUGCCGAAACCAUUGGCAAAAUAGCAGUUCAUUGUCUUUACCACAGGAGUGGAUGCACAUGGCAGGGACCUUUAUCUGAGUGCACAUCUCAUUGUACUGGAUGUGCAUUUGGCAAUUCUCCUGUUGUAUGCAACAGGUGUGGGAUCCAAAUUGUGCAUCGUCAAGUACAGGAACAUGCCCAAAAUUGUCCUGGUGUGCAGCCUCAGGUGCAGCAGGCAGAGGGUGCUCAGGAUACUUCAGCCGCUGGCGGAACUGAUACUGCCAAUCAGACUCAGGCUGGUGUAACAGCUACCCAGGCCCAGACUACUCAAACUGCAGCAACUACUGCUUCUGGACAGGAUCCUAAUCAGCAAGCUAACCUGAAUUCUCAAUCACAAGCUUUAGUUCAGUCUGCUGUGCCAACUCCAGAACAGUGGUAUCAGCAACAACAACAGUAUCAACAAUACUACCAGCAAUAUCCCGGAUAUGAUCCCUAUCAACAGCAUUAUCAGCAGUACUACCCCUAUCAACAGCCAGGAGUUCCACAAUACCAUCAGCAGCACUUGCAAGCUCAUCCACCACAAGUGGCUGGUCAGAAUCAACCUCUACUUCAGCCGCAAUCCCAACCACCACCUCAGACUCUCGUCCAGCCUCAAUCUCAACCACUACCUCAGCCCGCUGUACAGCCUCCAUCACAAACACAUGCUCAAGCUCCAGCAGUUGCUCAACUUCAAAACCAGGCACAAGUUAACCUGCAACAGCAGCAACAGACUGCAGUGCUUCCACAUUCUCAAAUUCAGCCACAGACUCAUCAGCCAGCCCCGGCCCAAGCUCAUCCCCAUCCCCAGCCAUAUCCCCAAGCUCAUCCCCAUCCCACCCAACCUCAUCCACAGCAACAUGCAAUGGUGCCUCAAUAUCAACAGACACAUCAUCAGAUGCAACAUUUACAACCCCAACCUCAUUCAGCUCAUCAUCAAGCACCAGGUCAACAACAUUCCCAGCCACAUCCCUACCUAAAUCCUAAUGUCCAGCCUCAGAUGCAGCAUCCACCAGCCCAUGAUGUCACGAGCCAUCAAUCAUAUCCUCAGCCUCACCAACAAAUGCAUCUAGUAGCCCCACAACAGCAUACAAUGCACAUGAACCCUCAAGGUGGGCCUCAUCCACAGCAGCAACAUUCUGGUCAAGCUCCAAGUCAAUUCCCUCAACAACAUCCUCCUAUGCGUCCACCCCCUUCUACUGCUUCAAUUCCAAAUCAGCAACAGGCUGCUUUGUUGCCAUUGCCAGGUCAAGUCCAGAACAUCCAUCCUGCACAACAGCAGCCAGUUCAACAAUCUGGACACCCAAUCCACCAGCGCCCUCCUAUACAGCCAGGUCAACAGAUUAUGGCUCAGCAACAUGUGAAGCAGCAGCAGCAGCCUUUCGUACCGCAAAGUCCAUUUCUGCAGCAAAAAAUGCCCACCCCAUCUCCAUUACGGCCCCAGGUCCCGCCUCAUUCAUAUACACAACAUACUCAUGCCUAUCCACAACUGCAGCAGAAUGCAGCAUUCUCACAUGGUUCUCAAAAUGUUGCCGGAAGGCCCAUGGUACCAAAUCAUGCAGUACAAUCACAGCCAUAUCCACAGUAUGCUGGUGGUGUUCAGGCUAGGCCUUUGCAUCCUGGUGCAAGCCAACCAUCUGCAAGUCUGAACAAUAUGCUCAGGGGUGAGAUCCAAGUACAAGUGUCUACUGAACAGCAGUCUGGGGCAACUUCAAGGUCAACAAUGUCCGUAAGACAAGGCGAUUAUGCAUUUGAGAAAGGCAUGGGCGACCGAGCAGUUGAAUUAUCUUCUGAGAAUGCUGCCAAAAAGGUAUCGAAUGAUUUAGAUCCAGCAUCAACAUCAGCUCUUGGAGUUGAUGCUAGUGAAGUUAAAAAUAUGAAAUCUGAAACUGAUAUCAAGUCCAAGGAUGAUUGUGAAUCUCAUGUCCUGGAAAAUGGAGGACUUGUUAAGCGGAUGGUGAAGGAGGAGGGUGUGGAAAGUAAUUUGGAGAACUUUAAUGUCAGUAAAUCAGGUGAACUUGUAUCUGAGAUCAAGAAAGAUGUUUCUGAAGUAAGCCCAAGACAUAUGGGCAAUUUUGCUUCGGAAGAUAGAGAGAGAAAGGACGAUCUUCUGUUGAAAAAUCCCCCAUUGCAUGAACCUGAACAAAUAGAAAAACUGAGUGGGAAAUUGGAGAAGGAUGCCAGUGUGAUUCAGCAUCCUUCAACGGGUGCUAAUGAAGCCUUACAAACUUUGACUACGACUUCAGCUCCUGUCUCAAGUAGUCCUGCUAAGAAUUUUAUCCCAAAAGGAGCCAUCUCUCAAGGUUCUGAAGUUGAUGGAUACAAAGGUCUUCCUCCACCCAGUCAGGUGCAUUCUGGGGGCUUUAUACAGCCUUCUCAUCCAGGCGCAAUUGCUGAUCAGGGAAGGCAUUUUGGGUCUUCUUCUCUCCAACCAAGGCCGCCCGGUGCUCCAUUGUUGCAAACGCCUCCUUUUGUGCUUCCACAUCACCAACAUCCAGGAGGGCACCCUUCCGCUCAGUUUAGGCCACAAGGAUAUGGGCACACACCUGAGCAUUUGCAGCCCCCUGCAUCAAAGCAGUCUCUUGAAACCCCACCUGGUGGCAUCUUAGGUCCUGGCUCCACAUCAUCCUUUGGGAGGGGACCGGGGUAUUAUGAUUUUCCCCAGCGAAACUUUGAAUCGCUACCUGUUGUUUCUCAAGGGCCUCAUGGUCAAGGGCAUGCACUCCCUACAAAUGCUGCGGCUUCCAGAGUGUCUCAAGGUGAAUCUGUUGGAGGGCCACCAUUUGGUAUGUUACCUCCUGGUGUGGUUGAUUCACGUGGUGGGAUGAUGGCUAGACCACAUGGCCCUGAAGGUCUGAUGGGUCAGCAGCGGCACACUAAUCCGAUGGAUGCUGAAUUGUUUCUAAAUCAUAGGCCAAGCUACAUGGAUAGUAGACGACCUGAUCCACAUCUUCCUGGGUCUCUGGGACGGGGUUCAAUUGGUCAGCCUUCUGGUGUGAUGGGAAGUAAUGGUGCACCUGGUCUUGAUUCCUCAUCGACACAUGGGUUUCGAGAUGACAGGUCGAAGUUUUUCCCAGAUGACCGUUUUAAUUCCUUUGUAGGCCGAGAAGGUGCAGACCGAGGAGAGUUUGAAGAUGGUCUCAAACAAUUCCCCAGACCUUCUCAUUUGGAUGCAGAGCUUGUACCAAAGUUUGGGAAUUAUUCAUCAAGGCCUCGUGAGAUGGGAUCCUAUGGGCUAAAUAGUGAUACUGGUUUCAAAUUGGGUCCUGGGGCUGGCAGUGCCCAUUCAGGAUUCUUGCCUUCAUAUGAUGGAGGAGAAAGACCCGUUGGUUUGCCAGAUUCUGGUCGUAAUCAUCCAGAUUUUCUUGGACCAGUUACUGGGUAUGCUCGACGACACAUGAAUGGUCUGACUCCUAGAAGUCCAAUUAGAGAAUACCAUGGUAUAUCAUCACGUGGUUUUGGAGGCAUUCCCGGCCAGUCGGGCCUAGAUGAUUUUGAUGGCAAGGAAUCACGUCGGUUUGGUGAUCCAAUUGGCAAUUCAUUCCAUGAAAGCAGGUUUCCUAUUCUGCCUGGUCAUUUGCAGAGGAGUGAGUUUGAGGGUCCUGGUAAGUUGCGAAUGGGUGAACAUUUGGGUCCACGUAACUUGCCUAGUCAUUUGCGAUUGGGAGAACCAAUUGGUUUUGGUGACUAUCCUGGUCAUGCACGGAUGGGAGAACUGCCUGGGCUGGGGGACUUUGAAUCAUUUGGUGCAGGCAACAGGCCAGGUCAUCCACGAUUUAGGAGCAGUUUUUCUCUUCAGGGAUUUCCAAAUGAUCGUGGAAUCAAUACAGGAGACACAGAGUCUUUUGGUAACCAGAGGAAGAGAAAGGCAGCUAGCACAGGAUGGUGCCGAAUCUGUAAAGUUGACUGCCAAACAGUUGGAGGCUUGGAACUGCACUCGCAAACAAGGGAGCACCAGAAGAUGGCUAUGGAUAUGGUACGGACCAUCAAACAGAAUGCAAAGAAACAGAAAUUAUCAUCAAGUGAUCCUUCCUCAGUUGAAGAUGCAAGCAAGUCUAAGAAUACCAGUUUUGAUGGCCAUGGGAAUAAGCAUUGACUGAUACGUUGCUGCCCUGUUUAUGGAGAUGGCUUUGGAACUGAAGUGCAGUGGCAAUUUACCAUUCAACCUGUCUUUUUUCGGCGAAGCAGACAACAAAUUGGCCGAAAGUUCAGUGGAAAGGUUUACUCCGUCUCCUUUUAUGGAUGUGGUAAGAAUGUGUUGGAUGGCAUAUUUUUUUAGUAGAAAAAGUUCGCUUCUUAGUAUUGAUUUUUCUGAAAUUGGUGACUUUUUGCAAGAUUGUUUUAUUUCCUUCUUGACACACCGAUCAUGCUGUGUAGAACCGUGAAUGGUUUGAUAUUUUUUGUGAGUUUUGUAAAUGAAAUUUAACAAGUAGGAUAGUUGGAGGAAAUUUGAGUGUGUUCCACUGGGAAUUGUAUUGAAUACUAGUUUAGGUUACUAAAUUAAUUAUGAAUUAUGAUUAGUGCAGUUUUGGUCAUUCAUUUUUCCUUAUCCUUGAGAUACGCAGAUAAUAUGGUUUGGGCUGAUGGAUUGUGGAGUAUUUUACAUUCUUGUUUAGAAGUAGGGUUUUGUAAGACAUAGGGGAAGUCCUAGACACCUGCAAUAUAUAGUAAAAAAGGCUACUGUCAAGUUGAAGCUUCUCUAGAAUGGUUAUAAAACCUAGCUUCACCUAGUAAGUUAAUGUGGGACUUUGUACCUGUGACUUACCUUUAUAUUUUAUCCACUCUACAUGGGUUAUUCAUAUUCCCAAUGUGGGACUAAGGUAUUACAGAUUUCUCCCUCUUAAAUUCUUGACAUCUUCAUCCAGACCAUGUCAUGCGUGCUAGUAGCAUCACAUGAUUGGCCUUACUAACUAGGAAAAAAAAAAUGUGAUUGGUCUUACUAGGUGACUCUGAUGCCAUAUGUAACAACCCAGGGAAAGUGCUUAUAAAGAUUAGUCAGUAUAAAGUCUCCCAAAAAUUGCUUAUAAAGCUCAAAUUUAUCUAAAAGUAGCCGAUAUGGGACAACACCCAUGACUACUUUAUAAUACCUACUCUGUUGGUUAUUCAUAUUCCCAAUGUGGGACCUUGUUACAGGUAUUGAGGUUAAAGGAUAAUUUGGACAGUUUAGUAGAAAUUGAAAUGUGUCACUUCUUCUGUAAUAAUCCUGGUGAUCAAGAAUAGGAUAUUCUUGAAGGAAUGAAGGUUUUGAUUUAACAUUUUGUUUUGAUCUCUGAAGUUCAUUCAGUGAUUGAGAAAGGAAUGUACGGAUUAGUUUGAGCAGGUUAUUUUGUUAGAUUAUUUGCUCAAUGGAUUUUGCUUUAUAUUAAAGGCUUGGGGCAUGUCCAUACCCUUUUUGGAGCCAACAUUCAUUCUAACUUUUUCGGUGUGUCUAUUUGAAUUGCCAAUCUGUGAGUCAAAGCUGAUUUAUUAGGGAAUUGGUGUUUGCCACAUAGGUUUGUUUGCUGCCGCUGGAGUCCUGCAAAAUUGUUACUACUAGUUAACAGGACUGCAUUCUGCUUCUAACAUAUGGUUGUUGUCGUUUGAGAAUUUUUCAUGCUUCAUAAAACUUUUCAUCGUAGUUUUUAUUACGUGAAACUUGGGUUUUAUUGAAGUUAUGGAGUGACCUUUUCGAAGUGGAUGGCAGUUGUGGAAUCCAAACCUGCUUGAUCAUGUUUUGACCAGGUUUGUGGCUUUCAAGUCAAUGUUUUUCUGGUGGUUAGAAUUUCAAUCUUAAAUAGUAGCUUUCUUUCUGGUUUUCGCUUUUAGUUUGCCUUUAAGAUUAUAUGAAAAGUUUAUGCACCAUAUUUCUAUUUAGUAAUACUGGUGGUCAAAAAUUUGAAAUUGAUUAGGAGCACGCCAUUGACAUCUAUUGAUUUUUAUUGUAUUGUUCUCUUUUUCUGAUUAGGUGUUUAUCUUGUAUACUUUCUGUUGCCAAUAUUAUCAAUAAGAUCUAUAUACUUGUAAAAAAAAAUUAUUUGAAAUUGAUUAGGAUUUAAAA